AGAACGAACGCUGGCGGCAUGCCUAAUACAUGCAAGUCGAACGAACACUUCGGUGUUAGUGGCGCACGGGUGCGUAACGCGUGGGAAUCUGCCCUUGGGUUCGGAAUAACAGUUGGAAACGACUGCUAAUACCGGAUGAUGACGAAAGUCCAAAGAUUUAUCGCCCAGGGAUGAGCCCGCGUAGGAUUAGCUAGUUGGUGAGGUAAAGGCUCACCAAGGCGACGAUCCUUAGCUGGUCUGAGAGGAUGAUCAGCCACACUGGGACUGAGACACGGCCCAGACUCCUACGGGAGCAGCAGUAGGGAAUAUUGGACAAU
rnacentral:rRNA from 1 species